rnacentral:rRNA from 2 species
AUUAGUGGCGAACGGGUGAGUAACACGUGGGCAAUCUGCCCUGCACUCUGGGAUAAGCCCGGGAAACUGGGUCUAAUACCGGAUACGACACUCCGAGGCAUCUUGGAGUGUGGAAAGUUCCGGCGGUGCAGGAUGAGCCCGCGGCCUAUCAGCUUGUUGGUGGGGUAAUGGCCUACCAAGGCGACGACGGGUAGCCGGCCUGAGAGGGUGACCGGCCACACUGGGACUGAGACACGGCCCAGACUCCUACGGGAGGCAGCAGUGGGGAAUAUUGCACAAUGGGCGAAAGCCUGAUGCAGCGACGCCGCGUGAGGGAUGACGGCCUUCGGGUUGUAAACCUCUUUCAGCAGGGAAGAAGCGAAAGUGACGGUACCUGCAGAAGAAGCACCGGCUAACUACGUGCCAGCAGCCGCGGUAAUACGUAGGGUGCGAGCGUUGUCCGGAAUUAUUGGGCGUAAAGAGCUCGUAGGCGGUUUGUCGCGUCGAUUGUG